UCCCUGGUGGUCCAGUGGUUAGGACUCCACGCUUUCACUGCCGAGUGUGAAGGUUCAAUCCCUGCUUGGGGAA
rnacentral:tRNA from 1 species